GACGAACGCUGGCGGCGUGCUUAACACAUGCAAGUCGAACGGAAAGGCCAUGAUUUUGUGGGGUGCUCGAGUGGCGAACGGGUGAGUAAAACGUGAGUAACCUGCCCUUGACUUUGGGAUAACUUCAGGAAACUGGGGAUCAUACCGGAUAGGAGCUACUGAUGCAUGGUGGGGGUUGGAAAGUUUCGGCGGUUGGGGCUGGACUAGCGGGUUAUCAGCUUGUUGGUGAGGUAGUGGCGUACCAAGGCUGUGAUGGGUAGCCGGCCUGAGAGGGUGAUCGGCCACACUGGAACUGAGACACGGUCCAGACUCCUACGGGAGGCAGCAGGAGGGAAUCUUCCGCAAUGGGCGAACGCUUGACGGAGCAACGCCGCGUGAGUGAUGAAGGUCUUCGGAUCGGAAAACUCUGUUAUUAGGGAAGAACAAAUGUGUAAGUAACUAUGCACGGCUUGACGGUACCUAAUCAGAAAGCCACGGCUAACUACGUG
rnacentral:rRNA from 1 species